UUUUUUUUUUUUUAAUCUUUUAGAGCCACACCUGCUGCAUAUGGAGGUUCCCAGGUGCAACUCUUAAAAAAUAAUAAUAAUAAAAAAUAAAUAAAAGGAGGGCUUAUGGUUUUGGGUAGGGAGUGACCUUUCUGGAGGGGCCUCAGAGCCCUCCUCCCUUGCAGGUGACCACAACCUAUCCCUGAGGCCAGCGGGUCACUGUGUAACUCAGCCCCCUCUUAAGUUAUUUAAAAGGAUGAACCAUAAACAGAAGCCAUGCUCUCUCGCCUUGAGGCGCUGAGGGUCUGGCAGGGACAGAAGCAGCUACACCAAAUUCAGAUCAGCAAAGACAGAGGUGACACGGAAAACCGAUUUUCCCUUUGAGAUUAAGAUCCUAAAAACUGUCUUCUAAAUGCGGCUUCUCAGGACUCAUCUGUGAAUGAGAAAACAAGUCUAUAAACGGUGCUCCCAAACUUACCGCUUGAGUAAGGGUCUUAGAAGAGAUUUGUGGGAUGAAGCAGAGGGAUGACUAAAACCCACAUAAAUGCGUGCGUUGGGGAGGGGGGGCAUUCCUGGGUCCCCCCUGAAUUGUUUCAUGGACAACAAUACCACCGGUCACAGAGAAAUUAAGUGAUAAAAGCUGAAAAGCACUAAGGCCCAGGACAGUCAAAUAGAUUGUAUCUCACAAGGAAACUUUAAUAAUGCGAACUGCCAUCAACUACGACGGGGAGAAAAGCCUGGGAACAUUAUCAACGGGUCACAGUGCGGCUUUUAGAGGAAAUGGAUUAAAUAUAAAGAGCUAUUGAUGGCAGUCAUAUGGCAAUGAGGUCAACACGACAGCCAGGCACAGGCGUAUCCAUGGCUGAAUUUUAAACCAGGAUAAUUGGGCUUUAUUUACGUCUUGUCCCGCCCACCAUAUUCAUCUGCUAUUUACGGAGAUUCUAAGACAGAGCAAAACACGGCACAAUUAACAGGUGAAAUGGAUUUUUUUUACUAGCCCUACUAAAAGAUUUGGUUUAAAUUACUCUCCAAGCGCUUUUAGGCCUUUGGCAAGUGAGAACUGAUAGGAUAAACUCCAGACAUUUUCAACUCUCUUGACGGGUUUGAGAGGCUGAGCUGAGACCAGUUCAGAGGUCAGACAAGAAGCCGUUCCUGCAUAAGCGGACACCACCCCCCAAGUAACUGGCGGAGGGGUGCCCAAGUGAAAGGGUCCCCCAGGUCUGCACCCUGAUUAAGAUGCUGGACCCUGACAUGGCACGUGUGACAUGCUGUCAUUACGGACCAUUCCCCUGGGUGGCGGCGGCGGCGGAGGGAGUGGGCACGGCUGUACCUCUUAGUCUCGAUAUUCAAACCGGAUUGUUUUCAGUCACGUUUAAAUACCUUCUCGUCUUGAUUACAAUUUGAAAAGUAACACACUUCAAACCCACAAUUUGAAACAGUGCACCAAGGGAGCGAUUUGCAACAGAAAGAACAUUAUGAUAUUUUUAUCAUACUUGAAAACAGAGUAUUACACCUGGAAUUCAGUGAAGUGAAACUGGCAUGUCAAACAUAAUAGAAGGUUAUAACAGUAAAAGGUAAAAUAAUUAAAAGAAAUAGUAAUUAUACCCAAGACAGGUUUAUAGAAAACAACAUCGGUUAACUGCGUUUACAGACAGGAAAAGAGCUGCGAACGUGACAUUUUCUCUAAGGCUGUGAUUGGUCUUCGCCUUUCCGUCUGCCAGGCUCUAUAAGGAGUGCUGAAGGCAGAUCGGAAAAAUCAAAGCUGAUUAAAAACUAUUUAUAUGAUUUGUGUGCCAAUAUGGGUUGGGCUCCCUUAUGGUGCUUGCAGAGGUGAGUAAAGUUGUAGCAAAGUGAGUCCAAGGCAUUUAUUAGAAAUGAGCAUUGCCAAGCUCCAGGCAUCGAGCGGUAUAGUUCAGAUGGCAAGGCAGAGAGUCUGAAUUCUUCCCAUUGGUUCCCUAGAGGCAGACCUCAGAGAUACUGCAGGUUUGCUUCCAGAAUAUCGCAAGAGAGGGAGUCACAAGACUUUCUGGUUUCUCAGGGCAUGUAAAAGUUAUUUUUACAUUAUACUGUGGUCUAGUAAGUGUGUUAAAGGUAUACAUCUUCAUUAAAAAGUACUUUACUGCUAAAAGAUGCUAACCAUUAUGUGACAAUGCGGGGUUCUCACAAGCUUCAGUUUGGAAGAACUGCACUACCUGUGAAGUGCAAUGAAUCAGAGUAUGCUUGUAUUCAUGGAUCUAGUUUAAAAUGACACAUAUGCGUUUUUGCAUAAAAUACUGUUCUGGAUUUUAUGAGUUUCAUUUAUUAAUUUCUUAUGGUUUGUCUCUAGCUCAUUCAUUCACUCAAUAUUUACCUGGUGGCCUCAGUGCAGACUGGGCAUUUUUUUAGAUGCUAGAGAGAAUAUAAUGAGUAAAACAGACACAUCCCUCAACAUUCCUGCCCUCAUGGAAUUUACAUUCUACCACAUAUGACACUUGGGUUUUUUUGGGUUUUGUUGUUGCUGUUGUUUUGUCUUUUUGUCUUUUCAGGGAUGCACCCACGGCAUACGGAGGUUCCCAGGCUAGGGGUCGGAUCAGAGCUACAGCUGGUGGCCUACACCACAGCCACAACAACGCCAGAUCCGAGCCAUGUCUGCG
rnacentral:lncRNA from 1 species